rnacentral:rRNA from 1 species
AGCAGCCGCGGUAAUUCCAGCUCCAAUAGCGUAUAUUAAAGUUGUUGCAGUUAAAAAGCUCGUAGUUGAAUUUCGGGGUCAGUAGGUUGGUCAUGCCACUGGUAUGUACUGGUCUCACUGAUUCCUCCUUCCUGAUGAGCCGUAAUGCCAUUAAUUUGGUGUUGCGAGGAAUCUGGACUGUUACUUUGAAAAAAUUAGAGUGUUUAAAGCAAGCUAACGCUUGAAUACAUUAGCAUGGAAUAAUGAAAUAGGACGUUCGAUCCUAUUUUGUUGGUUUCUAGGAUUGACGUAAUGAUUAAUAGGGAUAGUUGGGGGCAUUAGUAUUCAAUUGUCAGAGGUGAAAUUCUUGGAUUUAUUGAAGACUAACUACUGCGAAAGCAUUUGCCAAGGAUGUUUUCAUUAAUCAAGAACGAAAGUUAGGGGAUCGAAGACGAUCAGAUACCGUCGUAGUCUUAACCAUAAACUAUGCCGACUAGGGAUCGGAUGAUGUUAAUUUUUAAUGACUCA